rnacentral:rRNA from 1 species
AGAUUGAACGCUGGCGGCAUGCCUUACACAUGCAAGUCGAACGGCAGCACGGGAGCAAUCCUGGUGGCGAGUGGCGAACGGGUGAGUAAUAUAUCGGAACGUGCCCAGUCGUGGGGGAUAACGCAGCGAAAGCUGUGCUAAUACCGCAUACGAUCUCUGGAUGAAAGCGGGGGACUCGCAAGAGCCUCGCGCGAUUGGAGCGGCCGAUAUCAGAUUAGCUAGUUGGUGGGUAAAAGCCCACCAAGGCGACGAUCUGUAGCUGGUCUGAGAGGACGACCAGCCACACUGGAACUGAGACACGGCCCAGACUCCUACGGAGGCAGCAGUGGGAAUUUGGACAAUGGGGGAAACCUGAUCCAGCCAUCCCGCGUGUGCGAUGAAGGCCUUCGGUGUAAGCGACUUUUGGCAGGAAGAAACGGCGUACCCGUAAUACGGGCGUCGACUGACGGUACCUGCAGAAUAACGCACGCUAACUACGU